UGCACUGCUGGUGGGUUCUGCUGGCAAAUACCAUCCAGCAAAACAAUGUCCAAGCGUGUAUGGGCGUGUGCAUCUCUGUUUAGUUAUUUAUGAAAAUUUAUGCUGCCAGGCUAUAGCCCACAGGCUGCUAGCAAACUGCUUAUAUGUUGAUAUUGCUAAUUAUAGGGCACUUCUCUUUGGGGCAGGACAGCCCUGAAAUGCUGAGGGAGGAACAGGCUCUUCGGUUUCAAAGGCCUUGAGUCCAUUGGGAGGGGGACAGAAAUAAAAGUUUCCCUUUUCUGAAGAGGAGGUUGAGGGUUUUUUUAAAUUUAGCAUUGCAUAAGCCACUGCGAAAUGCUCAUGGACAUCCGCAACUGAUCAGAGUGGGAAAACAACCGGCAGCAAAUUUUUUAUCCUAAAAACAAUGUGCUGGUUGAAACAAAAUCCAUACUAGUUAAGCAAGCAGCUGAAUUUGAUUAAUAUGAAGGCUGCAGCUGCCUUGUAUUUUGAUCUGCAUGAGAGAUUUCACCUGUUUAGAGCUUUUGAAAAAGUAAUUGAUAGGUUCAGCAAAGUGGUGGCCAGAAUGAUUUUCCCUCCCACAGAAGGAACUACAGGCUGCUGGAGCAGUGCUGCAAGCCCCAGAAGCUAAAACAAAGCCAUGAGACUCCUCUCUAAAGAAUACAUAUUUGGUUCUUUUUAAAAUGUUUUGUAGCUUUUGAGCUUUCUGGGCAUGCUUCAUGUUCUCGAGCUGUUCCCUAAAACCCUCAGGGCUUAAAAAACUUAAAAAAAAAAAACAAAGAAGAAGAAAGCUGAGAUUCAGUUUUCUUAAAGCCCCACCCUGAAAUCUCAGCUCUCAUGUACUUAAAGUAAGGGGCAAAGCUGGAUGAUUCUGAUGAAGUGAAUGGACUGGCUCCAGCCCUACAGCUACAUGAGGACAAAAUGCAGUGCAGAGAGAGUUCUGCUUGACUCAACAUCUUGGAAGAAGGAAUCUGCUCAGGCUGAGCUUCCAAGAUCAGGGACAACAUGGGAUCUCUCAAGACAGCUGUUUUGUCAGGUCGUGUGGAUGGUCCUCCAGCCUUCUGAAGACUCUGCAGAAGGUGGCCUUGUAUAGGUACCAGAAAUGGAGUAGGAGCCAUGGAAGAUGCGAAGUACAGUAGUGAUGAGCCCAUGCUACACCAGCUGUCCUCCUGCUUUCAUCCAGCUGAUGGUUCCUGAGAGAGACUUUCUGUUACUGAUGCAAUCUGAAUGUGCUGCGUGCCACCUGGGAACUCCUGCCCUGUGCAAUAAAUACUGAAAGUGCAUUUGCCAGUCUGCUAAAUGGGGAACAACUAGCCAUGAGCAACAGGUCCCAAGAACCGAUUAUGAGGGAAGCACUAACUUCACUCAGCUCUCUUUUUGCACAAGUAACCUCUGCAAAAUCACUGAUGAUGACAAGCCAAGACCAAUGCAGAAGGAGCUGAGCGUACCCAGGGUUUGACGCCCAUGGAGCUUAUACGAAAAAGUACGUGACUGUAGGAAAUUCUUAUAGCCUUCUUUUACAGGUCAAUCUCCCUACCCUUGCCUAUUCUUAUAACCUCUUCUUACAGGUCCAUCUCUCCACUCCAUACUCUUCUGGAGCACUGUUGCACCCAAAGAUAACAUUAAGCAGUUAUGUUUUGCUCUUGUAUCCUUGCCAUGAAUAUAACUAAAUGAGUCCCUUUUGGGGAUCUGAACUUUUCAAAGCUUCUCUGUGCUUUUCUGUUUUCCUGUGGUACUAAACACCUGAGGGCAAUUCUGUGUGUUGUUGUAGGAUACUCUUCAACUACAUAAAACAGUUAAAUGCUGAAUAAAGUUCCAUGUGCCCUUGGAAUACCAAAGAGAUCAUAAAUACUUAAGCUUUGCUCUUGUUGCUAGCAAGGUGCAACCAGAAGCUUGUGAGGGAAGAAUGACAUGUGGGAGCAUUUGCAAGGCUUAUAUACCAGUAGUUUCAGUUUAUCUAUGUAAUGCAUUGAGUGUGCUCACACAGGUACAUAUAGAUCCAUGCAUGCAUGUCUGUCACUAAUGACAUAGUGUGUGUACAUACUGUGUUCCAUAUGUGUGUAUUAAUAGGGUAGUGUACUACUCUUCAUUGUAUUAUGAUGGAUAAAAGUCUGCUCAGUACGUCAUGGCACAGAUAAAAAGACAUGAUCUUUUUAUCUGUGAAAAGAACAAAUGGACUGGGGUUGGAAGAAGGCAGGGAGAAGUCACAGUGAUAAGAUAAGGUUGUCACUUGGUGAAGGCCUGUGAGCAGCACAAUGAGAAGGGUUUAAAGUGCAAUUAUAUAUAUAUGCAAAACCAACAAAACAAUAAUCAUUGUCAUGGUUCCCUUCUUUCCUGUGUAUAUCCUGUUAAAAGUGAGUCUCUGGGAGGGAUUUAAAGGUGAGAGAACAAAAAACCUGAUCCAGGUGUCUAAUUCCCAUUGACUUUAAGAGUAUUAGGUACCUAAAUCCCUUGCCUCUGGGCCUUAAUGUCUAUGAAGGCUCCCUAAUAUAUAGCACCCUGCUCCUGAGAAAGAGAAGAGACUGGGCCUGGGUGUGCAAGGGGAGUAGCAUGUGUGUUCUAAAUUCUGCUUUGUUACUGACACCAGGCAAGUCGCUUAGUUCCUUAAUGUCUCAGUUUCCCCACUGGUGAAAAGCAGCUCCUGGUACUUCUUCCUCUAUCUCCCACAGGGGCCCUGAUGAUUAAUUAGU